GUUAUUGUUCCAAGAUUUAUGUGGCAUGCAAUUUGCCAUUAUUGAGAAUCAUGAAGCAGAAUUCUACUUCCUUGAGGAAUUCGGGUUUAUAUACAAGCCCAGCAACACCAGAAUAUGGAGAUAAUAAUGUUAGAGGAUUUCAGAAGGGAUGGAGUUCUGAACGAGUCCCGUUGCCGACUAACAGCGGCAGGAGGCAUAUUAGUACUACUGCAUUGAUGCCUUUCAA
rnacentral:misc_RNA from 1 species